AGCGAACGCUGGCGGCAGGCCUAACACAUGCAAGUCGAACGAAGCCUUCGGACUUAGUGGCGGACGGGUGAGUAACACGUGGGAACGUACCUUUUGGUUCGGAACAACUCAGGGAAACUUGAGCUAAUACCGGAUGAGCCCUUAGGGGAAAAGAUUUAUCGCCGAAAGAGCGGCCCGCGUUAGAUCAGCUAGUUGGUGAGGUAAAGGCUCACCAAGGCUACGAUCUAUAGCUGGUCUGAGAGGAUGAUCAGCCACACUGGGACUGAGACACGGCCCAGACUCCUACGGGAGGCAGCAGUGGGGAAUCUUGCGCAAUGGGCGAAAGCCUGACGCAGCCAUGCCGCGUGAAUGAUGAAGGUCUUAGGAUUGUAAAAUUCUUUUACCAGGGACGAUAAUGACGGUACCUGGAGAAAAAGCCCCGGCUAACUUCGUGCCAGCCGCCGCGGUAAGAC
rnacentral:rRNA from 1 species